rnacentral:rRNA from 1 species
UACGGAGGAUCCGAGCGUUAUCCGGAUUUACUGGGUUUAAAGGGUGCGUAGGCGGGCCCCUAAGUCAGCGGUGAAAGUCUGCGGCUCAACCGUAGGAUUGCCGUUGAUACUGGGGGCCUUGGAUUCGGUCGAGGCGGGCGGAAUGCGUGGUGUAGCGGUGAAAUGCUUAGAUAUCACGCAGAACGCCGAUUGCGAAGGCAGCUCGCCGGGCCGACAUCGACGCUGAGGCACGAAAGCGUGGGGAUCGAAC